rnacentral:ncRNA from 1 species
GUGUUUGUAAAAAGGAGAGUGGUUGGCAUGUCCCCAGCAGGGAUGGGAACAGCCUUUGGGGUCGUUUGGUAGAGUGUAUUAGCAAAAUUAAUGCAUGCAUUAGCUCUAUGUAUUAG